rnacentral:rRNA from 1 species
UAAGUAGACCGCCUGGGGAGUACGGUCGCAAGAUUAAAACUCAAAUGAAUUGACGGGGGCCCGCACAAGCGGUGGAGCAUGUGGUUUAAUUCGAUGCAACGCGAAGAACCUUACCUACUCUUGACAUCCAGAGAACUUUCCAGAGAUGGAUUGGUGCCUUCGGGAACUCUGAGACAGGUGCUGCAUGGCUGUCGUCAGCUCGUGUUGUGAAAUGUUGGGUUAAGUCCCGCAACGAGCGCAACCCUUAUCCUUGUUUGCCAGCGAGUAAUGUCGGGAACUCCAGGGAGACUGCCGGUGAUAAACCGGAGGAAGGUGGGGACGACGUCAAGUCAUCAUGGCCCUUACGAGUAGGGCUACACACGUGCUACAAUGGCGCAUACAGAGGGCGGCCAACUUGCGAAAGUGAGCGAAUCCCAAAAAGUGCGUCGUAGUCCGGAUUGGAGUCUGCAACUCGACUCCAUGAAGUCGGAAUCGCUAGUAAUCG